CUUCUAAACUGAAUGUAAAACAGUAUAUUUUUUAUGCUUUCCUGUAGAUGUAAUUUACCUUUCCAUCACACUUAUUUCAGAUAUGAUCAGCUGAAAGAAGAUUUACUACAACACAGCACAUUAAAUGAUGGCAGAGAACUUAUACUGAAAGGAGAAUGUUUGAAUGAGGUGACAUUAUCUGUUCUUCAAUGUAAACUCACUGGCCACGAUGACUCAGAAACUUUAGAAAAGAAAAGCUCUAAAAAUGAAAUGCAGAAAAUUAUAUUCGGAGAUCGAGGAGAAACGGAGAGCCAAAGAAGAGGAGUUAAAAGCAUUGACAACUGACGCAGAUGGUAAAAGCAUUCAUGAAGUGAUGCAGGCCAAACUACAACUGAACUACAUUCAAAACAAUGUGCUACAAGGCCUCAUACAGGGCAGCGGACUUAACUUGGCGCAGGAUGAGAAAUUGUGUACUCUUAUGCAGGAGGCCGGCAAGACUUUACACAUGUAGAGAACGUGGGUUCGAGUCUUCACGUGACAAUUUUAGAUGACCAUAUCUAUGAUUUUGUCAGCAGGAUUGGAAAAUAUGUACUCUUAUGCAGGAUACUGGCAAGACUUUCCAGAUGUAGGGAAUGAGAGUUAGAGUCUUGAUGUGACAAUUUUAGAUGACCAUAUUUAUGCUUUUGCAGUGCUGUUAGAAUUGUUAUGACAGAAAACAUGUUUUUCGCUAUACAGUUUUAAGGAAAGGUUGGAGUUACUGUGUUUAGCCCAAUGUCUGUUCUACAUUGUCAUAAAGCUUGUGAUCUAGCCUAGUGGUUAAGUUGUAUGCCUCUCAACGUGGAGGUCGUGGUUUUGAACUCUACUGGGGAUGCAACCAGGUUUUCCCACAUGAUCCUAGUUUUGACAAAUGUUCAGGAAGUGGAAUGGAAAAGUUCCCAUCGAAUAGACUUGAACCUUUCUAGAAUAAAUUUGAAAAAAAAUAUAUAUAUUUAGCAGUUUUAACUGUUUUGCAUAAAAAACCUUUGCAUUAAAGCAAUACUUUUAAUGCCCCCAGGCAUAUAUUAAUUGAAAUAUCUGUCUGUCUAUCCAUAUGUACCAUGUUAACCUAAAAUGGCAAGUUGGAUUUUUCCAAAGUCCUACCUGUACCAAUGGCUUUAUUAUUUACACACUUCCUCACCAAUAUAAUGUACAUGUUCUGGGUAGGUAACAUAACUAUGGCAUUACUGUUUGAAAAUCAAAACUGUUAACCUAAACCAGAAAGUUUGAUAUAUCUCAAGUUCUAUCUAUACUAAUGGUCUCAUAAUUUUUUCACUUAUCAAUACAAAGUACACAAUAUUGCGAGGUUAUUUAAGUUAAAUAUCUUCUAUAUUUGAUAGAUACCUUCAAUGGUCCUCUUAUGUUUUGUGGAGAAAGGGGUCACUGGGGUCAAGGUCAUUGUUGUAAGAAAUAAAUUUUAACGUUUUCUGCUGAUACUCGUACAGCCUUUAUUUUUUAAAGUUGAUGUUUUUUGUGUUCAAUACAGACAUGCCAAGGGAGGACCUUUCCUUUUGGAUUAAGGGGUCAUUUUGGGUCAAUGUCACUCAUGUUAAAAAUAGAUUUUUACACUUUUACAGGUGAAAUCUUAUGUCUGAUGUCUUAGAUUUGGUACAUGAAAUUUAGAUUUUUUUUCAUUUGGAUGGAGUUAUGGGUCAGUUGGGUCAAGGUCAUCUGUGGUAAAUAGAUUUUCACACUUUUCCCUAAACAGCCUUUAGUUAUUGACAUCUUUCAUAUUUGUUAGGAAGAUAACUUGCAAGGUAUUCUUCCUAGUGAUUGAGUUAAGGGUCAGUCGGUCAAGGUCAAGAAUGCCAAUAAUAGAUUUCUACAUAAUUAUUUGCUUAUACAGCCAUUAUUUUUUUGCCUGAUAUUUUUCAUAUUUGAAAACUUGCAUUGUCUCAUUCAUUUGGAUUGAGUUAAGGGUUAAUUGGAAGGGUCGCCUUUGCAAAAAAAUAAAUGAAAAAAAUUUACACUUUUACAUAUACAACCUUUAUUUAAGGACAUAUGUCUUUCAUAUUGUGAAGGAUGAUAGCUUACACGGUAUUCUUCCUUUUGAUUGAGUUAGGUGUCAGUGGAUCAAGGUCGUGAAGGCCCAUAAUUGAUUUCUACACAUUUGCUAAAACGGCCUUUCUCUUUUGCCUGAUGUUUUUCAUAUUUGUAAAGAUUGUAAAGAUGAUAUGUAAUUUUUUUUUGGAUUGAAAUGUAUGAAGGUCGCCAGUAAUAAAAAAACGAAAAUGAUUUUUACACGUUUGCCCAUACAGCCUUUAUUUGGUUGGAAGAUAUCGUGCAUGGUCUUCUUCCUUUGG